rnacentral:rRNA from 1 species
AACGAACGCUGGCGGCAUGCCUAACACAUGCAAGUCGAACGAUCCCUUCGGGGAUAGUGGCGCACGGGUGCGUAACGCGUGGGAACCUGCCCUUAGGUUCGGAAUAACUCAGAGAAAUUUGAGCUAAUACCGGAUAAUGUCUUCGGACCAAAGAUUUAUCGCCCUUGGAUGGGCCCGCGUUGGAUUAGCUAGUUGGUGGGGUAAAGGCCUACCAAGGCGACGAUCCAUAGCUGGUCUGAGAGGAUGAUCAGCCACACUGGGACUGAGACACGGCCCAGACUCCUACGGGAGGCAGCAGUGGGGAAUAUUGGACAAUGGGCGAAAGCCUGAUCCAGCAAUGCCGCGUGAGUGAUGAAGGCCUUAGGGUUGUAAAGCUCUUUUACCCGGGAUGAUAAUGACAGUACCGGGAGAAUAAGCCCCGGCUAACUCCGUG